rnacentral:rRNA from 1 species
AUUGAACGCUGGCGGCAGGCCUAACACAUGCAAGUCGAGCGGAUGAAGGGAGCUUGCUCCUGUAUUCAUCGGCGGACGGGUGAGUAAUGCCUAUGAAUCUGCCUGGGAGUGGGGGAUAACGUCCGGAAACGGGCGCUAAUACCGCAUACGUCCUGAGGGAGAAAGUGGAGGAUCUUCGGACCUCACGCUAUCAGAUUAGCCUAGGUCGGAUUAGCUAGUUGGUGGGGUAAAGGCCUACCAAGGCGACGAUCCGUAACUGGUCUGAGAGGAUGAUCAGUCACACUGGAACUGAGACACGGUCCAGACUCCUACGGGAGGCAGCAGUGGGGAAUAUUGGACAAAGGGCGAAAGCCUGAUCCAGCCAUGCCGCGUGUAUGAAGAAGGUCUUCGGAUUGUAAAGCACUUUAAGUUGGGAGGAAGGGAAGUAAGUUAAUACCUUGCUGUUUUGACGUUACCAACAGAAUAAGCACCGGCUAACUUCGUG